CCAAUAUAGCCAAUAAAGUGUAGUUCUGAUCCUGCAAGUGAUACACAUCCACAGGUACUUUCUGGAAGAACUAAUUUUUACUUCUUACUGACAGGUAAAACUUUCUUGUUCCAUAGGAGGAGUGCUUCUAAAGACAGUAUUGGAGCACAGAGUAGCAUGAGUGAAGUAACACUGCUAGUGAGUCAAAUGGUUGAGAUGUUUAAAGCCAUCAAAAUGCAAUUGGACAAUUCUCAGAGCUUCAUGUCUGCAUCACAGACUGCUACUGACUUCAGAGACCACCUGAACAACACUGAAGAAUUAAAAAAGCAAACAAGAAAAAACCCACAACUCUUUAGAAGCUUCUUCGAGAAGACAGUUCUCAAACUCUAGGGACUCGUAUAGUCUGAGAAUUACAGAUAAUCCGCCGCUGACCAGCACAGUGAAGCAAUGCACAAACCCACCACCAGCUUCUGUGUCUGACAGACCAGCAGCUCACUCGUGUUUGUAGUAUCCUUUUGAAUUUCU
ensembl:lncRNA